GACGAACGCUGGCGGCGUGCCUAAUACAUGCAAGUAGAACGCUGAAGGAGGAGCUUGCUUCUCCGGAUGAGUUGCGAACGGGUGAGUAACGCGUAGGUAACCUGCCUGGUAGCGGGGGAUAACUAUUGGAAACGAUAGCUAAUACCGCAUAACAGUAGAUGUUGCAUGACAUUUGCUUAAAAGGUGCAAUUGCAUCACUACCAGAUGGACCUGCGUUGUAUUAGCUAGUUGGUGAGGUAACGGCUCACCAAGGCGACGAUACAUAGCCGACCUGAGAGGGUGAUCGGCCACACUGGGACUGGGACACGGCCCAGACUCCUACGGGAGGCGGCAGUAGGGAAUCUUCGGCAAUGGACGGAAGUCUGACCGCGCAACGCCGCGUGAGGGAAGAAGGGUUUCGGAUCGUAAAGCUCUGUUGUAAGAGAAGAACGAGUGUGAGAGUGGAAAGUUCACACUGUGACGGUAUCUUACCAGAAAGGGACGGCUAACUACGUG
rnacentral:rRNA from 1 species